UACGUAGGGACCGAGCGUUGUCCGGAUUCAUUGGGCGUAAAGAGCUCGUAGGCGGCUGUUCAAGUCGAACGUGAAAACUCGGAGCUCAACUCCGAGCCUGCGUUCGAUACUGGACGGCUAGAGUCUGGUAGGGGGAUCUGGAAUUCCUGGUGUAGCGGUGGAAUGCGCAGAUAUCAGGAGGAACACCGGUGGCGAAGGCGGGAUCCUGGGCCAGUACUGACGCUGAGGCGCGAAAGCCAGGGGAGCGAACGGG
rnacentral:rRNA from 1 species